GACGAACGCUGGCGGCGUGCUUAACACAUGCAAGUCGAACGGAAAGACCCUGCUUUUGUGGGGUGCUCGAGUGGCGAACGGGUGAGUAACACGUGAGUAACCUGCCCUUGACUUUGGGGUAACUUCAGGAAACUGGGGCUAAUACCGGAUAGGAUCUCCUGCUGCAUGGUGGGGGUUGGAAAGUGUCGGCGGUUGGGGAUGGACUCGCGGCUUAUCAGCUUGUUGGUGGGGUAGUGGCUUACCAAGGCUUUGACGGGUAGCCGGCCUGAGAGGGUGACCGGCCACAUUGGGACUGAGGUACGGCCCAGACGCCUACGGGAGGCAGCAGUGGGGAAUAUUGCGGAAUGGGCGGAAGCCUGAUGCAGAAACGCCGCGUGCGGGAUGACGGCCUUCGGGUUGUAAACCGCUUUCGCCGGUGACGAAGAGUGAGUGACGGUAAUGGGUAAAGAAGCACCGGCUAACUACGUG
rnacentral:rRNA from 1 species